ACCUGUCCGGGGCGCGCCGCGCACCCGGGCAAAAGACAGACACCGCGCCACGGAAGAAAUGGGCGCAUUAGGGCGUU
rnacentral:sRNA from 1 species